GAUCAUGGCUCAGGAUGAACGCUAGCUACAGGCUUAACACAUGCAAGUCGAGGGGCAGCAUGAACUUAGCUUGCUAAGUUUGAUGGCGACCGGCGCACGGGUGAGUAACACGUAUCCAACCUGCCGAUGGCUCGGGGAUAGCCUUUCGAAAGAAAGAUUAAUACCCGAUGGCAUAAUUCUUCCGCAUGGUAGAACUAUUAAAGAAUUUCGGUCAUCGAGUGGGGAUGCGUUCCAG
rnacentral:rRNA from 1 species